UACGGAGGGUGCGAGCGUUGUCCGGAAUCAUUGGGCGUAAAGGGCGCGUAGGUGGCCCGGUCAGUUCGUGGUGAAAGCGCGGGGCUCAAACUCCCGCGUCGGCCAUGAAUACUGCUGGGCUUGAGCACUGUAGAGGCAGGCGGAAUUCCGGGUGUAGGCGGUGGAAUGCGUAGAGAUCCGGAAAGAACACCGGUGGCGAAGGCGGCCUGCUGGGCGAGCGGCUGGACACUGAGGCGCGACAGCG
rnacentral:rRNA from 1 species